rnacentral:rRNA from 1 species
ACGUGUUACAAUGGCAGGUACAGAGGGGUGCUACCGGGUGACCGGAUGCCGAUCUCGAAAACCUGUCCCAGUUCGGACUGGAGUCUGCAACCCGACUCCACGAAGUUGGAUUCGCUAGUAAUCGCGCAUCAGCCAUGGCGCGGUGAAUACGUUCCCGGGCCUUGUACACACCGCCCGUCAAGCCAUGGGAGCCGGGGGCGCCUGAAGUCCGGGACCGCGAGGACCGGCCUAGGGGCGAAACUGGUGACUGGGGCUAAGUCGUAACAAGGUAAC